UGAGUACUUGCAACUCUCAUGUCUGUGCAGUAAAUAGAAAGCUACAGCCAGAUGCAGGUUAACUUGGCUUAGCAUAAAGACUGGAAGCAGGUAGAAUCAGCUAGCCUGUCUCUACCUAAAGAUAAUUAAAUCUACCUACCAGCACC